rnacentral:rRNA from 1 species
GAUGAACGCUAGCUACAGGCUUAACACAUGCAAGUCGAGGGGCAGCAUGAUUGAAGCUUGCUUCAAUCGAUGGCGACCGGCGCACGGGUGAGUAACACGUAUCCAACCUGCCGAUAACUCGGGGAUAGCCUUUCGAAAGAAAGAUUAAUACCCGAUAGUAUAGUAUUUCCGCAUGGUUUCACUAUUAAAGAACUUCGGUUAUCGAUGGGGAUGCGUUCCAUUAGAUAGUUGGCGGGGUAACGGCCCACCAAGUCAACGAUGGAUAGGGGUUCUGAGAGGAAGGUCCCCCACAUUGGAACUGAGACACGGUCCAAACUCCUACGGGAGGCAGCAGUGAGGAAUAUUGGUCAAUGGACGAGAGUCUGAACCAGCCAAGUAGCGUGAAGGAUGACUGCCCUAUGGGUUGUAAACUUCCUUUAUACGGGAAUAAAGUGGAGUAUGCAUACUCCUUUGUAUGUACCGUAUGAAUAAGGAUCGGCUAACUCCGUG